AACGAACGCUGGCGGCAUGCCUAACACAUGCAAGUCGAACGAGGUCUUCGGGUCUAGUGGCGCACGGGUGCGUAACGCGUGGGAAUCUGCCCUUUGGUUCGGAAUAACAGUUGGAAACGACUGCUAAUACCGGAUGAUGACGAAAGUCCAAAGAUUUAUCGCCAGAGGAUGAGCCCGCGUAGGAUUAGCUGGUUGGUGUGGUAAAGGCGCACCAAGGCGACGAUCCUUAGCUGGUCUGAGAGGAUGAUCAGCCACACUGGGACUGAGACACGGCCCAGACUCCUACGGGAGGCAGCAGUGGGGAAUAUUGGACAAUGGGCGAAAGCCUGAUCCAGCAAUGCCGCGUGAGUGAUGAAGGCCUUAGGGUUGUAAAGCUCUUUUACCCGGGAUGAUAAUGACAGUACCGGGAGAAUAAGCUCCGGCUAACUCCGUGCCAGCCGCCGCAGUAA
rnacentral:rRNA from 1 species